rnacentral:lncRNA from 1 species
GAAACACUCCCAAGAGACAUCUACAUGGAAACAGAGCAGGUGAGCACAAGACAGGCUGAGCAGCAGCCAGCCAAGACUGGGGCCCACCCAGGCGGCGCGGGUGCUGGGGUCGCUGAACAAUCACAGGAUAAGCCACUGGUAAAACAAGACCCAGUGAAGUCUCCAGACCCCAAGAUGCUCUGAGCUCACUCCCAUGCCCUGACGCUGGUCCCAGGAUGGAUUCGCUAUCCUAUCCCGCCUGAGGUUCCCAGGACACCAGGAGAAGGGGACAGACAUAGUGAGUGAGGCACACAGCUUGGAGACAAUCCCACUGAUGCUCAAGGCCUAGGCAGUUGGAAUAUCUCCUGAACAGGGACCCAGCCUCACCCAGUCUUUCAGCACCUUACCCAGGACCUGGCCAAAUUCAGGUGCCCAGGGAAUGUGUUAAAUGCGUGGACCAAAGAAUCAUGGAGGAAGGAUCCCAGCAGCUCAGGAGGCUGAGGCAGGAGGAUGGCGAGUUCAAAGCCAGCCUCAGCAAAAGUGAGGUCCUAAGCAACUCAGUGAGACCCUGUCUCUAAGUCAAAUACAGAAUAGGGUGGGGGUGUGGCUCAGUGGUCGAGUGCCCCUGAGUUCAAUCCCCAGUACCCCCACCAAAAAAAAAAGCCUGCUGGAGGAAGGGAAUCCUGGUGGACGCAGCUCAUCAGCACUUGCCUGGCUCGGGCCCUGUGUGGUCUGGGUAAGGAGAAAACAGCUCUGAUUUCAGAGCCUGGGCUGUAGGUGGCGAUGUGGAGAGAAGAGCUGUUUUCAAAAACAAAGCAGGGUUUUGCCAUGUUCCCCACAGCGCCCCCUAUGCCCACCAGGCCUGCUUCUCUCCCCAGCACUGCUCCGUAACCAACUGCAAGGCCCUUCUCUCUCUGAACCUCAGUUUGCUCGUCUGAAAAAUGGGAUAAUGGGUCAAUUCCAUAGGGAUGAGUUAAUGGGAUACUCUUUGUUAAAACAUAAAAUGCAUAGUGCCUGGUGUAUAAAUGCUCAAUCGAUGGCCAUUAUGACAAUGAUAUUAAGACCCAUGCUCACUAUUUAAGUCCCCAGAACAACCACUUUGUACGAGCCAAUGUCCCAACCAUUCAUAGCUACACCACCUCCCGGUUUCUGCUUCCCAAGGCGGCAGCACCCGUGGUGACCUAGGGAAGCACACACAUCCCUGCGGCAUGAGAAGCCUAAAGAUGAGGGCAGGGACCCACAGACACUCCUCUCCUCCCUCACCUGGCCUGCAGUGAGGCUGGGCCUGCACAGCUGCGCCUGAUCUUGGGGUCCACUGAUGACCAGAACCCUGAUCUUGUUCCAGUAACACUGGACAACUUCCAAC